UACGUAGGGGGCGAGCGUUGUCCGGAUUUACUGGGCGUAAAGCGCGUGUAGGCGGCUUCUUAAGUCGGGUGUGAAAGCCCGGGCUCAACCCCGGGAUGCCGCCCGAGACUGGGAGGCUUGAGGUCGGAAGAGGGGAGUGGAAUCCAGGUGUAGCGGUGAAAUGCGUAGAGAUCUGGAGGAACACCCGUGGCGAAGGCGGCUCCCUGGACCAAUACUGACGCUGAGGAGCGAAAGCCAGGGGAGCAAACGGGAUUAG
rnacentral:rRNA from 1 species